ensembl:antisense 1700001J04Rik RIKEN cDNA 1700001J04 gene
UCACCCUUCUGGGCCAAACCAUUCUGCUGGCAGAUCCCAUGUGGGAAGAGAGUGAGAAGGGGAGGGUCCAUUCCCCAUCCUGAGGUUGUUGGUGGACGACGUUCACAGGAUUCCUCCUUCAGAAUGGGCUUGCAUUUCCUGUACACACAGCGAUGGCUGGGCAUCCUGGAAGUGGGGCAGGCAGCUGAAGAACAGAGAAGCAAGGUUUCCACCUCACCCUACUGUACACAUGCUUUGGACUUUGGAAUCGAAGUUCAGGGGGCAUCUUAGACCUGCCAGUUUGAGGAUGGAUUCGGUCAAGAGGCACAGCGGGGGCCCCUGUGCAGGAUGCUCAUGCCGGACUAAAGAGACAAGCACUCAUGCGAGGUGGGAUGUUACAAAGGUCCCUACAUCUCUUGGUGCUACCCUUGAGAACCGGACCCAGGCCCACAGAGCUCCUCCAAACCCAGACAAUAGAGUCCUUCAAUGCCCAGCUUCAAAAAUGGGGAGGUAAUAAAGGUAACAGGUGGACGGACAGUCCCUUA